rnacentral:rRNA from 1 species
CCUACGGGUGGCAGCAGUGAGGAAUAUUGGUCAAUGGGCGCGAGCCUGAACCAGCCAAGUCGCGUGAGGGAAUACGGCCCUAUGGGUUGUAAACCUCUUUUGUCAGGGAGCAAAGUCGGCCACGUGUGCACUUUUGUAUAGUCCCUGUGGAUAAAGCUUCGGCUAACUCGUUGCCAGCAGCCGCGGUAAUACGGAGGAUCCGAGCGUUAUCCGGAUUUAUUGGUUUUAAGGGGUGCGUAGGCGGCGUGUCAAGUCAGCGGUAAAAUUUGCGGGCUCAACCCCGUCGUGCCGUUGAAACUGGCGGCCUUGAGUGAGGGUGAAGUAGGCGGAAUGCGUGGUGUAGCGGUGAAAUGCAUAGAUAUCACGCAGAACGCCGAUUGCGAAGGCAGCUUACCAGAGCGCAACUGACGCUGAGGCACGAAAGUGUGGGUAUCGAACAGGAUUAGAUACCCGAGUAGUC